rnacentral:rRNA from 1 species
UUGGANUGGGCGCAGCCUGAUCCAGCCAUGCCGCGUGAGUGAUGAGGGCCUUAGGGUUGUAAAGCUCUUUCGCUCGGGACGAUAAUGACGGUACCGAGAUAAGAAGCCCCGGCUAACUUCGUGCCAGCAGCCGCGGUAAUACGAAGGGGGCUAGCGUUGUUCGGAAUUACUGGGCGUAAAGCGCGUGUAGGCGGGUCUUUAAGUCAGGGGUGAAAUGCCAAGGCUCAACCUUGGAACUGCCUUUGAUACUGGAGACCUUGAGUCCGGGAGAGGUGAGUGGAAUUGCGAGUGUAGAGGUGAAAUUCGUAGAUAUUCGCAAGAACACCAGUGGCGAAGGCGGCUCACUGGCCCGGAACUGACGCUGAGACGCGAAAGCGUGGGGAGCAAACAGGAUUAGAUACCCUGGUAGUCCACGCUGUAAACGAUGGAUGCUAGCCGUUGGGGAGCUUGCUCUUCAGUGGCGCAGCCAACGCUUUAAGCAUCCCGCCUGGGGAGUACGGUCGCAAGAUUAAAACUCAAAAAAAUUGACGGA